rnacentral:rRNA from 1 species
UACAGAGGGUGCGAGCGUUAAUCGGAAUUACUGGGCGUAAAGCGCACGUAGUCGGCUUUGCAAGUCGGUUGUGAAAUCCCCGGGCUCAACCUGGGAACUGCAUCCGAGACUGCAUUGCUAGAGUAUGGGAGAGGGAAGCGGAAUUUCUGGUGUAGCAGUGAAAUGCGUAGAUAUCAGAAGGAACAUCAGUGGCGAAAGCGGCUUCCUGGACCAGCACCGGACGUUCAGGC